UGCCCGUUCGUUUCAAAAAAAAAGAAGAAAAAACAAAGAAAAGUGCCAGUUCCAAUUCCCAAAUGUCCACAGUCCACCGCCACCGGCCGGCGGCCGCCGCCGCGCCGCCAUUCCAGAUCUGCCAUGGGGGUGGUCGCCGGAGCCAACGGGAAGGGGAGGCAGCCAGCAGAAGAGGAAGGGCAAGGCCCGGACUACAUCAGCGGCCUUCCGGACGCCGUCCUCGGCGACAUCGUCUCCCGCCUCCCCACAAAGGACGGCGCUCGCACGCAGGCCCUCUCCUCCCUGUGGCGCCACGUGCGGCGCUCCGCUCCCCUCAACCUGGACCUCCGCUUCCAUCCCAUCCCCCUCGGCAAGGUGCCCCGCGUCCUCUCCUCGCACCCGGGCCCUGCCCGCCGCUUCUCCACCCCCGCGUGCUACGGGAAGCUCCGCGACGCACCGCCGUGACCCUGGACGGCUGGCUCCGCUCCCGCGCCCUCGACGGCCUCCAGGAGCUCGACUUCCACUACGACAUCCCGGCUCGGGAUCGGGGGAAUCCUCCGCCGCUGCCCGCACCGGCACUCCGCUUCUCGUGCACUCUUCGCGUCGCCAGAUUCUGCUUCUGCCGUUUCCCGGAUGGAAUCGAUGUCCGCUUGCCGGUUCUCGAGGAGCUGCACCUUUCGCAUGGCAUCAUCUCGGAGAGUUCUGUGCAUGCCUUGCUUCGCCGGCUGCCCUGUUCUGCAGAGGUUGCGGCUAACUUACAAUGAUGGCUGCACUAGUGUUCGGAUCGCGUCCCCUACCAUCAGAAGCGUUGAUGUAGGUCGAGGUUCGGGAGACCUCGGUUUGCAGCAACUCGUCAUCGAGGAUGCUCCCUGCCUGGAGAGAUUACGUCAUGAUACUCCUAUUUCACAUCACAAGAUGAUGGACAUCUUGGUGAUCUCGGGGCCAAAAUUGAGCAUUUUGGGGCGUAUCUAUGAUCACUUUCCCAGAUUUGAGAUUGGCACCACAGUUUUUAAGGUCUUUAUCUUUGUCAAACAAGAGUCUUCGUUUGGGUUUGGUUCUUAACUUCAUGAAAUGCUUUCCCUGCUUGGAGCAGCUGAACAUCAAUGUGAGUAAACUUACUCUUUAAUUCAGUUUCCGUCUGCAUUGAUUAUUUUGUAACUUACUAUUGCUUCAAUACUUGUUCUAGAGUAGGUUGUCACUAUUUUUGUGUUUAUUUGGCCUUUCCCGACAUUAUUCUAAGGAAGGGAAAAUGUGUGGGGUAAUGGACUCUGCAAUCUUAUUAAUACCCAUGGCACUUGUUUGAAGAAAAUUGUGUUGAGAAACUAUAGAGGCAACGAGUCACAUGUUAACUUUGUCAAGUUCUUUGUAUUGAAUGCAAGGGUUAUAGAGUCAAUAAGGCUUGUGUUGAAGUUUAGGAACGUUAGCAAUAGUUGGAUUGAAGGACAGCGCAGCCUGCUUCAGUUUGAAAUGAGAGCUUCCAAGGGUGCACAGUUGGAUUUUGUGUCUUCUGAUAGUUUGCGUGAUGAGGAAACCGCGUGAUUUCUCCAGAGAGGACCUCAUUUCCAGCAUUUCGAUGUCUCUUCUCAUGGAAUAUUGUUCAAGAUACAGGAUUACCGGACCAUGAACCACAUACACCUAGGGAGAAGCAGAUUCCUGUCUGCUUGGGGCAAUGGAACAGUGACUUCAAUCUUGUUGUAGCUCUGCCAAAAGUGCAAGGAAGCCUGCAUUUUCACUUGUGCUACUGCUAACUACUGUACAUGUAUAAACUUGUAGACUUGUGAUAGUCCUGUCAACAGGGAUGGUCAUUUGGCUUGUCUGCUACAGGUUCUGUCGUGGAUCUAUGACUGCUAACUACUGUACAUGUAUAAACUUGUAGACUUGUGAUAGUCCUGUCAACAGGGAUGGUCAUUUGGCUUGUCUGCUACAGGUUCUGUCGUGGAUCUAUGACUGACCAGUUGCAGCAACUGAUUUCCUGCCCUAAGACUUGUUCCUGGCUGGUAGGAUGAAAGUACCAUGAUUGUAAACGCC